rnacentral:rRNA from 1 species
UCUGGUGAUUAUGGCGUAGAGGAAACACUCCUUUCCAUUCCGAACAGGACAGUUAAGCUCUAUAGCGCCGAUAGUACUGCAUGGGGAACUGUGUGGGAGGGUAGGACGUUGCCAGGU